CUUCAAUAUUUCCCACUUGAUACUUUUAGACAUAUUUAGUUCUAUAUAAUUAAUCUCUUGUAUGCUCACCAAUGGAAUCUGCCAGAAUUCUCCUACCCUAACAGAUUUUUGGAUUUGGCUUCCUUUACAUAGCCAUAUCCUGCUGCUUCUCAUCCCUAUGUCUGACCGCGGCAGUGCCCUGAAAAGUUGUGCCAAAUGAUGAGCUGACGGGAGAAUAAUUAAAGUCAUUCAAUUAUCAAGUGUUUAUGGAAGAUCAACUAUGAGCCAGGAACUGUGCUGCAUUAUGGAGAUACGACAGUGAACCUGACAGAUACCAAAUCUGCCUUCUCAAAUAUCUAGUGUCAGAAUGCAUUGCUUUGAAUUUCCUCCAAGAAAGUCUAGCCAGAGUAAAUGCAAUAGACUCUUCUGACAUAGGAAAAAGUACGACAUGUUCUUUAAUUGUUUUACCCUAAGUAUCUCAAAAAAUACAAUGACAAAAUUUACAUCUAAGAACAUAAAUUGAUAUGUAUAAUAAUGUUAUUUUUAAACUUUUAAUAAUUUAAGCAACAAGCCUCUCAUUCAAAUGGAUAAUUUAUUGGAAAGGAAAUCAGGCACAGUUAUUAGAAAUAAAUAACUUGUGAUUACUCAAGUUUAAACAAAAAUAUUAAUGUCACAGCUUCAGUAGAUUGACUAAUCAUCAUCUUAAACUAUAUAGAGAUACAGGGGAGAUGAAAUGAAAAUUGGAACAGAUAGGUUUGAGGUAGGAGGAAGGCAGGCAGAAGAGUAAACGUAGACAGGCUAUUAUUAAGUUCUGGAUUGCUGUAGGGUUGACAAGUUCAGAGAGUAAUCUUAAAACUUUAGAAUUCUGAUAAUUUAUUUUUGUUCCUCAACUGAGAGGGAGAUUCAAAAAGGAGGUAUCAGAAAGUGAGGCAAAGUUUAAAAUUUAACCUAUUUUAUUGGCCUUGGUAGAAAAUAUUAUAUAUUUUUGACUAAAAAAUAAUAAUACAUUUGGAUUUUAUUUUACACUUAAACAUCCACUUUCACAAAUAAUUACAAAAAAUUAUAAUGUUCACAGUAACAGCUAACGAUACUUAUCUGCAAGGAAAGUAAAACAGAAUAUGAUAUCAUGAAAAAUAGUUCAUUAUAUAAGUGGAAUUAAAUGUAAUAGAUGUAUAACAUCAUAUAUUUCCAUAUGUAUAUUUAAUUAUGUACAUUUCUAUAUAUAUGAAGAUGUAUAUACUAUUACAUAUAUAUUAUAUAGCAUACAAUUUAUAUAUGAACAGAUAUGUUCCAUUGUUCUAAAAUACAUAUGUAAUCAUAUAGUCUUAAAUUUCCAUUCUUCCCAAACCCACAUGUAACCAACUCUCAGCCAUUUGUUAAUUCAAUCACUGUUUAUUGACCUAUGAUACUCCAGUUAUUGUUUCUGGUUGUUAGACCGAGUGUUGAAUAAGAAUGAAUCAUCUCUAUACUCAUAGAUCAUGCAUUAUAGAAGGAAAGAGAGAUGUAACACAUGCACAUAAAUACCAAUUAAUAGCCUUUUAUUUUGAACAAAUGGGUGAAAUGGGCAAAACAAUAUUCUCACUUUAUUUUGAAAUAGAGACUUUUUACUCAUAAUUUUUAAAGACUUCAAAGCAAAUAUUUUUAGAAAUGACAAUUAUUUGUCUCUAAAGUUGGUGAUACUCUUUGUGAAAGAAAUAAUUU
rnacentral:lncRNA from 10 species